AGCGAGCGAGCGAGCAGCCCGCGCCGUCCUCCCGCAGCACCAGCCAGGCCACGCCGCCGCCUCUUCCCCUGCGCCCCGCGCCCAGGCCGGGCCGAGCCGAGCCGGGUCGGGCCCGGGCCAUGCUGCUCACCGUGUACUGUGUGCGGAGGGACCUCUCCGAGGUGACCUUUUCCCUCCAGGUCGACGCCGACUUCGAGCUGCACAACUUCCGCGCGCUGUGCGAGCUCGAGUCUGGCAUCCCCGCAGCCGAGAGCCAGAUCGUCUAUGCUGAAAGACCUCUCACAGACAACCACAGAUCAUUGGCUUCUUAUGGCUUGAAAGAUGGGGACGUUGUGAUUUUACGACAGAAGGAGAAUGCAGACCCUCGACCUCCAGUGCAGUUCCCAAACUUACCCCGAAUAGAUUUCAGUAGUAUAGCUGUGCCUGGCACAUCAAGUCCCCGGCAGCGCCAGCCACCAGGAACACAGCAGUCCCACUCAUCUCCUGGAGAAAUAACUUCAUCUCCUCAGGGCUUGGACAAUCCAGCCUUGCUCCGAGAUAUGUUGCUGGCCAACCCCCAUGAGCUGUCCUUGCUGAAGGAACGCAAUCCACCCCUGGCAGAAGCUCUGCUCAGUGGAGACCUUGAGAAAUUUUCUAGAGUCCUGGUGGAGCAGCAGCAGGACCGAGCCCGGAGAGAGCAAGAAAGGAUUCGUCUGUUUUCUGCUGAUCCCUUUGACCUUGAAGCUCAGGCAAAGAUAGAAGAAGAUAUAAGGUAAUGACCUGUUCAUCUAAAGAACAAGACUUAGAGACUUCAGAUUUCCCAAACUGCAGGUUAUCUGACAUUAGUUGGGCAUCUGCUUAGAGGUAGCUUCUGUUUUGCAGUUGAGAUAGUAACCUCAGUCUUUUAGGUUAGUCUCUCCUCUUUCAUUUUCUAUGCAUUUCGAUUCGACAUGACAAAGAUAUAGGUGCUUAGUUUAAUGACUUUCUUUGUAAAAUUUUAAGGAAGACUCCCUGACUAGCAGACAGAGCAUCAUAACACAGCUCUAGAUAAAUGACCCCCGGACUGAGCAGAAACUACCAUCUGGUGACACCGCAAGGCUGGUUGCAUAUUACAUGGGCUGAUUUGACUCUCUCUCUUUAGACAUAUUGUAUAAGUCCUGAUUAAAUCCAGGGCUUAAAUAUGAUUGGAUUAGAGAGGGCUCUGCGCCAAUGGAACAUUGGUAGUCCUAAGUCUGUUUUCCUGCUGCAUUUCUUGUACUGGCCUCAGUGGAUAAACUGAAUGCUGGACAUGUUUCCAGCUCUCAGUUUCUGUAAUGCAGUGGUUCUCACCUGGGGCUAUAGUAAAAUCACAUGAGAAGCUUUUAAAAAUGCAGAUGCUUGGGCUCUUCUCCCAAAUCUGAUGAAUCAGAAUUGUCAGGCAUGGAGCUCAAGCAAGGACAGUGGCGCUGUUCCGGCCUCAGUCACACUGAUAGUCACAAGCAAGAUUCUGUUCAGUCAUUCUCUGAAAAAAA
rnacentral:sRNA from 1 species